rnacentral:sRNA from 1 species
UCCAGGGGAAGGCAGUCUAGAGCGCGACGUCCUGUCGCAACGACUGCAUACCUGCAUCCUUGCAGG